AGACCCGAAACCCGGUGAUCUAGCCAUGGGCAGGUUGAAGGUUGGGUAACACUAACUGGAGGACCGAACCGACUAAUGUUGAAAAAUUAGCGGAUGACCUGUGGCUGGGGGUGAAAGGCCAAUCAAACCGGGAGAUAGCUGGUUCUCCCCGAAAGCUAUUUAGGUAGCGCCUCGUGAAUUCAUCUCCGGGGGUAGAGCACUGUUUCGGCUAGGGGGCCAUCCCGGCUUACCAACCCGAUGCAAACUGCGAAUACCGGAGAAUGUUAUCACGGGAGACACACGGCGGGUGCUAACGUCCGUCGUGAAGAGGGAAACAACCCAGACCGCCAGCUAAGGUCCCAAAGUCAUGGUUAAGUGGGAAACGAUGUGGGAAGGCCCAGACAGCCAGGAUGUUGGCUUAGAAGCAGCCAUCAUUUAAAGAAAGCGUAAUAGCUCACUGGUCGAGUCGGCCUGCGCGGAAGAUGUAACGGGGCUAAACCAUGCACCGAAGCUGCGGCAGCGACACUCAGGUGUUGUUGGGUAGGGGAGCGUUCUGUAAGCCUGCGAAGGUGGCCUGUGAGGGUUGCUGGAGGUAUCAGAAGUGCGAAUGCUGACAUAAGUAACGAUAAAGCGGGUGAAAAGCCCGCUCGCCGGAAGACCAAGGGUUCCUGUCCAACGUUAAUCGGGGCAGGGUGAGUCGACCCCUAAGGCGAGGCCGAAAGGCGUAGUCGAUGGGAAACGGGUUAAUAUUCCCGUACUUGGUGUUACUGCGAAGGGGGGACGGAGAAGGCUAUGUUGGCCGGGCGACGGUUGUCCCGGUUUAAGCGUGUAGGUGUGUGUUCCAGGUAAAUCCGGUU
rnacentral:rRNA from 11 species